rnacentral:lncRNA from 7 species
AAAAAUUCAUUUAAGCGAAAAUCACGCAUUUCCUCUUCGAAAAUCCCGAAUUUAACCUGAAAGUAACCCAUUUUCUGUUAGUAAAUCCCCCAUUUAACUCGAAAAUCACGCAUUUUCUCCUCGAAAAUACACCAUCUAAAGCGUAAACCGAACAUUUUCGCUUCAAAAAGGCCCCAUUUAAGCCAAAAAUAUCCCCAUUUUCUCUUCAAAAAUCUUACAUUUUUGUAAAAAGCAACAAUUUUCUCUUCAAAAAGGUACCAUUUAAGUAAAAAUCACCCAUUUUCUCUUCAAAAUUCCCCCAAAAAACCCUGAAAAUCACCCAUUUUCUCUUCGAAAAUCCCCAUUUAUCCCGAAAUCACACAUUUUCUCUUACAAAAUUCCCCAUUUAAGCCAAAAAUCACCCAUUUUCUCUUCGAAAAUCCCACAUUGAAGUGAAAAUCACCCCUUUUCUCUUCAAAAAUCCCCCAUUUAAGGGAAAAUCACCCCUUUUCUCUUCGAAAACUUCCCAUUUUACCCCAAAAUCACUCAGUUUCUCCUCGAAAAGCCCCCAUUUAAGGGAAAUCAUGCAUUUUCUCUUCGAAAAUCCAACAUUUAAAUAAAAAAUCACGCAUAUAAGCGAAAAUCACCCGUUUUCUCUUCGAAAAUCUCCCAUUUAACCCGAAAAUCACACAUUUUCUCUUCAAAAUUCCCCCAUUUAACCCAAAAAUCACCCAUUUUCCCUUCAAAAAUCCCCAAUUAUUUGGAAAAUCACGCAUUUUCUCCUCAAAAAC